GAACUAGGCAAAUUAACCCCGUACGUUCGCAAGAAGGGGGCCCUUCGGGGCGCAGAGAAAAGGCUCUGGGAACUGUUUAUCAAAAACACAGCUCUGUGCUAACUCGCAAGAGGAUGUAUACAGAGUGACGCUUGCCCAAUGCCGGAAUGUCACGGAACCGGGUCAGCUUCGGCGAAGCUCGGAACCCAAGCACCGGUCAAUGGCGGCCGUAACUAUGACGGUCCUAAGGUAGCGAAGUUCCUUGUCGGGUAAGUUCCGACGCGCAUGAAUAGCGUAAUCACCGGAGCACUGUCUCCACGACCGACUCGGUGAAAUAGUAGUGGCGGUGAAGAUGCCGCCUCCCCGCAGCAAGACGGAAAGACCCCGUGGACCUUUACUGCAGGCUUCUAUUGGUCACGAGCACAUGAUGCGUAGGAUAGGUGGGAGACUUUGAGGCGGGCGUUUCGGCGCUCGCGGAGUCAUCGGUGAAAUACCACCCUUCGUGAGUUUGUGGCCUAACCCCGAUUCCCUUGAAGCAGGGCGGGGGACAGUGGGUGCUGGGUAGUUUGACUGGGGCGGUCUCCUCCUAAAGAGUAACGGAGGAGUGCAAAGGUCGGCUCAGCGCGGAUGGAAACCGCGUCUUAGAGUGCAAAGGCACAAGCCGGCUUUACUGCGAGUCCGACGGGACGAGCAGUCACGAAAGUGGGCCUUAGUGAUCCUGCGCUCCCGUGUGGAAGGGGCGUAGCUCAACGGAUAAAAGGUACCCCGGGGAUAACAGGCUUAUCGCUCCCGAGCGUCCAUAGCGGCGGAGCGGUUUGGCACCUCGAUGUCGGCUCAUCGCAUCCUGGGGCUGUAGGCGGUCCCAAGGGUUGGGCUGUUCGCCCAUUAAAGCGGUACGCGAGCUGGGUUCAGACCGGCGUGAGCCAGGUCGGUCCCUAUCUGCUGUGGGCGUUCCAGACUUGUGAGGAGUCAACUCUAGUACGAGAGGACUGAGUUGGACCGACCCCUGGUGAUCCUGUUGCACCGCUCGGUGCACCGCAGGGUAGCUACGUCGGGCAGGGAUAACCGCUGAAAGCAUCUAAGCGGGAAGCCCCCCUCGAGAUAAGGUCUGGUUGUCUUUGACGAGAGACCCCCGGAAGACUACCGGGUUGAUAGGCCGCGCGUGCAAGGGCUGAGAGGCUCUCAGCGGAGCGGUACUAACGGUCAAAGGCCUGGUCAC
rnacentral:rRNA from 1 species